CUCGUAGGUGGCCAACUAAGUCAGACGUGAAAUCCCUCGGCUUAACCGGGGAACUGCGUCUGAUACUGGAUGGCUUGAGUUCGGGAGAGGGAUGCGGAAUUCCAGGUGUAGCGGUGAAAUGCGUAGAUAUCUGGAGGAACACCGGUGGCGAAGGUGGCAUCCUGGACCGACACUGACACUGAGAAGCGAAAGCCAGGGGAGCAAACG
rnacentral:rRNA from 1 species